rnacentral:tRNA from 2 species
GGGCCCAUAGCUCAGUUGGUUAGAGCACCGCCCUUAUAAGGCGGGGGUCGAUGGUUCGAGUCCAUCUGGGCCCA